AUAAUGGAUAUGGAAAUGGAUGUGUUUAUUCCUGAAGAGUUUAUUAUAAAGAGAAGAAUAGAGAAAGAGGAAGCAGCAGAUGCAGUAGCUUCUACUUCUACAAAGGUAACCCAAAGUGUUUCAGAUUCAGAUUGCAAUAACAAUAAUAAUAAUAAGAAUGAGAGGAUUAAUAGCACAUGCAAAAAUAAUGAAGAUAAAUACAAGGACAAAGACAACAAAGGAAAGUCCCACAUCGAUCAUAAUUGUAGGUGAUCAUGUUUUUUCUACUUUCUCUGCUUAAUUUGUUGCUAUAAUAAGGUCAUUAUUAUUAAUGAAUCAACAAGAAACAACAUAAAUGAUUAGUAGCAUUUUGUUUAUUUGUUUCUUUUUAUAUUAGAUAUGUUCUUUUUCUUAUGUGUAAAUCUCUCUUUGUAAUGCACUUUUUCUAUUGUCAUUGUUUUUUUAGAUGAAUGGAACCAACAUUAAGCAAUGGUUUAUUCUCAAAUUAUAACACUUAAAAUUGUGGUUAGAGAUCCUUCGGUGUUUAAAAACACAAUGGAGUCUCUUGUGUAAUUGAGAUCUCUCAUAUUAUGUUUUAUCCAAUGAUAAUAAAAUAAAAACAAUGAUAAUAAUAAACUUUUAAUUUUUUUAAUUAAUAUAAUAUAUUUUCUUUACUAUCGGAUAAUAUUAAAUAGAUGAGAAGAAAUCUUUGUUAAUCUCGUCUGAUUGGUAGUUUGAAUGUACUGCAUGGGGUACAAGUACAACCUUGACUUCAGCACCUUUUGCUGUCUCACGUGUCCCCAAUCAGAAAAUCUUAUUUAAUUAAAAAUAAAAAUUAUAAUAACAUGAGUUAAUACUUGUACAUUAAUCUAUAAAAUUUGAUUAACUUGAUACAUGUAGACAUGAUUUUUUUGGGAUAGAGAACCUUUGUCCCACAUGUGGAGUGUGCAUACACAAAUAACUAUUUGUUCAGUUGAAGGUUUUUUUUUUGCGCUAGAUAUUCACCUUACAGAUAAAGAAUUAAUCUUUUUUAGAUGUGUGAUUGCUCCUUCAGAAAAUUUCACUUUCAAUAAACGAAUCCUUAAUUUUUAGUAUAUAUGAAAAUUUAGUGUUGUCUUACACCACGAAACUAAGGUCUUGUUACUAGCCGAGGAUUAAUUUAUGGAAUUAGCUUUAUACUGAGUUUCUUAAUAAUGGUAGAAGCUUUUUUUUGACUCUCAGCUGCAAUUUAUGAAUCACAGCCAAAUCAAUUAGGGAACAAAUCCCAGUAUACUUAUUAUAGACAUAUAUCAUCUAGAAAAUGUGUACAAAUUGAAGAUUCUACUUCAAAUGUUGGACUAAAAUUAAGUUGAAAGCAUUCAGUUCCUUCUAAUGGAGAUCAAUGAAUUAAGGCAAGCCUGCUUAAGGGUGAGGAUCCUUUAUACUAAAAGGAAGUACCUAAAAAACAAAGGAAAUAAUAUGAUUUCUUUAUAGAAAAAAAAAUCACAUUUUUAUCUUUAAAUAUACAAGUAAACGGAGAUUAUAGUUUUUGAAAGUUAAAUCCUGGAAAGCUAAAUUAGUUUAAGUAACUUCUUAUAAGUUAUAUUUCCUUCCAAUAAUUUGUUUCACUUUUAUCCUUUACUUUUAAAUAAAUACGAAUUUUACACUAUGAUAUUACAUGAUUUUUUAGUUAUUUAACAAAUUCUAUUUAGUUUUAUAGUUUUGUCAAACAAACUAACAAAUUUAGUUAACUUUACAUAUAUCAUGUAUGUACAAGUUAUAAUCUCAUUACUAUAAAAUAGUUUUAUCACACAAAAUUUAUAUAGAUAGUAUCUCAUAAUUCCAAAUUAGAGUCUUGUUAUUUAUACAUCAAAACAAAAAUAAUAUUUGACAGUUUAUUUUUAUAUCCUCUAUAAAUACACUCACUUGAGAAAUAAAAAGCAAAGAGACAUUGGUUGAUAUCUCUAUUUUAAUUUAAACAUUUUCCUUAAGAAUAAUAACAGGUGCACGGAUAUACUUUUGUCUCAAACAUUUUUCCAAAAUAUAUAAACAGUAAAAGAUAAUCUGAUCCUAUUUUGUUUAUUAUUUACAUUCUACCGCAGAUUAAUCCAAAGACCGUGACAAAAGCCAUUAUAAGAGAAUGAUCAACAUCUGCUUCCACUUCCAACGUUAGAAC
rnacentral:lncRNA from 1 species